rnacentral:rRNA from 1 species
UUGCCCUAGUAACGGCGAGUGAAGCGGCAACAGCUCAAAUUUGAAAUCUGGCGCAAGCCCGAGUUGUAAUUUGUAGAGGAUGCUUCUGGGUAGCGACCGAUCUAAGUUCCUUGGAACAGGACGUCAUAGAGGGUGAGAAUCCCGUAUGUGACCGGCCCGCACCCUUUACGUAGCUCCUUCGACGAGUCGAGUUGUUUGGGAAUGCAGCUCUAAAUGGGAGGUAAAUUUCUUCUAAAGCUAAAUACCGGCCAGAGACCGAUAGCGCACAAGUAGAGUGAUCGAAAGAUGAAAAGUACUUUGGAAAGAGAGUUAAAAAGCCGUGAAAUUGUUGAAAGGGAAGCGCCUGCAAUCAGACUUCGCGGCAGUGUUCCGCCGGUCUUCUGACCGGUUCAUUCUCUGUCGCGAGGCCAUCAUCGUCUGGGCCCGCCGGAUAAGACCUUAGGAAUGUAGCUCACCUUCGGGGGAGUGUUAUAGCCUAUGGUGAUGCGGCGAGGCUCGGGCGAGGUCCGCGCUUCGGCAAGGAUGAUGGCGUAAUGGUUGUCGGCGGCCCGUCUUGAAACACGGACCAAGGAGUCUAACAUCUAUGCGAGUGUUCGGGUGUCAAACCCCUACGCGUAAUGAAAGUGAACGGAGGUGGGAACCGCAAGGUGCACCAUCGACCGAUCCUGAUGUCCUCGGAUGGAUUUGAGUAAGAGCAUAGCUGUUGGGACCCGAAAGAUGGUGAACUAUGCCUGAAUAGGGUGAAGCCAGAGGAAACUCUGGUGGAGGCUCGCAGCGGUUCUGACGUGCAAAUCGAUCGUCAAAUUUGGGUAUAGGGGC